rnacentral:lncRNA from 1 species
AUGGGUACAAGGGAUUCAGCCCUUUGUAGAGAUUAUAUGUCUGCAGGAAGUGAGCAGAGCUUUGUUUCUCAAUUCUUUAUGGUCGUGGCAAGAAAAAAGAGAUACAAGAAAAGAAACCUGGAAGGAAAAGGCAGUAAAAGGGAGAAAAUGGACAAACUAAGGCUCAUGGCAAUAAUUUGAAAAGCAGAGACAUGGAGAAUCCACAUGAGCGGGAAAGGAAUAUCAGCAUGUACAGUAGCACCACAGCCACCCAAGGAAAUGGCAAUAUCUGGGGAGCUGUGGAGACUGAAAAGCAAACCCCUUGGAUUAAAAGCAGAAAUGGACUAAAUCUGGCAACCUCUGAUGAAAGAUGGAAAUACAAGUGUAACGGAGAAGGAGCAUCUCAAGAGUGA